rnacentral:rRNA from 2 species
CGUUGAUUACGUCCCUGCCCUUUGUACACACCGCCCGUCGCUACUACCGAUUGAAUGGCUCAGUGAGGCUUUCGGACUGGCCCAGAGAGGUCGGCAACGACCACUCAGGGCCGGAAAGUUAUCCAAACUCGGUCAUUUAGAGGAAGUAAAAGUCGUAACAAGG